rnacentral:tRNA from 1 species
GAGCCCGUGGCUCAAUGGUAGAGCGUUCGCCUCAAAUACCAAAGGUCGCGGGUUCG